UCCCCCCCCCGGCCGCCUCUGGGGGAGCGAAGACGGGCCGGAUAACGCUACCCGGGGCGGGAAAUAGGCCUGUGCCCGAGAGGCGGACCCCUGGCAGAGGCUCCGCAGCGGGGCCCUGUCCCACCCGCCCUAGAGCCGGGCCCGAUGAUAGCGGAUACCCGCCGCAGCAGCGCGGCCUUACGUGUUCUCUCAGACUAGAAGGCCGUCGCCUUCCGUGGCUGGGUAGUUAUAGGAAACGAGGUCUCGCGAGAGCUUCUCGCAAAAGAGGUGGAAGGCCCCGCCCCCUAAACACAGAACGCCUGCGCCACCUGCCAUGAUUCGGGGCUCCUUUCAGCCCCGCAGCAGAGUCCCGGCUGUACGCAUGCGUGGGUAGCAGCGGCGGAGCCCCGGAUCGAGCAUGACUUAGACUCGCCUGACUGGUGACCCAGCCUAGAGCAGCCCGAGACCCUGCACUGCGCAUGAGCAAAGCUGCCUGCUGGCAGCGCCCAGCAAGCACGUGUUCCGUGCUAGAUACUGGAUUUUCAGAAUCAAAGCUUCAACCAUGAUGCACCAAGCAAAUUUAAAUCUAGCCUGCUACAUUGCCUGCCACUCAGAGAUUAGUUCCAUGGAUCACCUUGGGGAAGUUUGAAAAAGAGGGAAAACCUCAACUGACAUCUCCAUGCUGAAUUUUCAAAGGUGACUUGGGGGCCUUGCUUGGAUGCACAGUAUCAAGCCAUCAACUUCCAGCAAUGGAAGAGCACAGAUGUGGAGCAGUUCUGAGUGGAAGCAUACAAUUUUCAAGACAGUAGCGGUGAACAGUGUUUUAAAGAGCUAGCCCUGUUUGCACUUUCCCUACUCGCCAUGCCUCUGAGUAAUGCUGACGUGGAACAAGUGUUCACCCGAGAGAAGUCCAAGCACUGGAAUGGGAUGAGUUGCCGGACUCUGGCUGCAGGAGGUCAGCACACUGUGGGAGUCUGAAGAGCCAUGGAUGACACAUGAACAAUCAUGAAAGGCCGUGGAGCACCUCAGCAACGUUCCACAUUUGUACCCCUUUCUAGAUAAAUAUACUAAAUGCUGAUGUUCUGCUUAUAAAUGGGACGCUUUGAGGACAAUCUCACUGAAACACUAAUAGUCUUUACCGCUGAAAACAUCUGAGUUUCCAGUCCCUACUCAGCAAAAUAGGUUGACCAGUAACUAGUAUGGGUGUUUGCAUGAGUAGUCAAAUUGUAGUGAGUAAUGCUGACAGUAGCAUAUUAUAGUGGUGUACAAAGCCCAAAGGUAUCAGAUGCUCUUUUGGUUCUGCAUUGGAAUAGGGCUAUUCUGUUUGUAUUCCAGUAGUACCUCGAGGCCUAUAGUGGGACUGGGGCUCUAUUGUAACUGCUGUAGAAAGGUGAUGGAUUUAAUGCUUUUGAGCAGGGCAGAAUGUGUAAGCAGCGGUUCUCAUGACCCCUCAGGGGGGUUGCAAGGUGGUUACAUGGAGGUCAUAAGCCCUCAUUAAAUUAAUUUUCCUCCCCCCAUUUUUAAUUUAAGGGGGGGGUCACACCCACGCUUCCUGUGUGAAAGGGGUCACCAAUGUCUACAGAAUAAGAGGAUGUUGGGCCCUGCUAUAAUGUGUUAUGAUGAUUUAAUUUGAGGCAGCAAUUUAAAGGCCUUUACUUCCAUAUGUACUACUCAGCAGUAUAUGUGGCAGCAGAAAUGCUGCCCUCUAGCGAGCAAAACCACUUAAACAAGGUGGUUAGAGAAAGUGGUGGCCUAGUUACUGUCUGUGCGUACAAUAUUUCAAACUGAUUAGACUUUCAGUGCUAAAAUGCUGCUUCUAGGGGAUGGUUUAAAUUGAUACAGUUGUCUGGUUUGCCUGUGUAUUUCAGUGUGUAAUAAAAUAUUUGCUUACUAACAA